GGAAUGUAUCUCAGUGGUAGAGUGCUCGCCUCACAAGCAGGAAGCCCUGGGUUUGAUCCCCAGCCCA
rnacentral:tRNA from 1 species